UACGUAGGGUGCGAGCGUUAAUCGGAAUUACUGGGCGUAAAGCGUGCGCAGGCGGUUUGCUAAGACAGGUGUGAAAUCCCCGGGCUUAACCUGGGAACUGCGCUUGUGACUGGCAGGCUAGAGUACGGCAGAGGGGGGUGGAAUUCCUGGUGUAGCAGUGAAAUGCGUAGAUAUCAGGAGGAACACCGAUGGCGAAGGCAGCCCCCUGGGCCUGUACUGACGCUCAUGCACGAAAGCGUGGGGAGCAAACAGGAUUAGAUACCCU
rnacentral:rRNA from 1 species